GUAUGGUCUGGCUGGUCUUGAUGCAGUCGAGCGGAAACGACAACAUUGACCCUUCGGGUGAUUUGUUGGGCGUCGAGCGGCGGACGGGUGAGUAAUGCCUGGGAAAUUGCCCUGAUGUGGGGGAUAACCAUUGGAAACGAUGGCUAAUACCGCAUAAUGUCUACGGACCAAAGAGGGGGACCUUCGGGCCUCUCGCUUCAGGAUAUGCCCAGGUGGGAUUAGCUAGUUGGUGAGGUAAUGGCUCACCAAGGCGACGAUCCCUAGCUGGUCUGAGAGGAUGAUCAGCCACACUGGAACUGAGACACGGUCCAGACUCCUACGGGAGGCAGCAGUGGGGAAUAUUGCACAAUGGGCGCAAGCCUGAUGCAGCCAUGCCGCGUGUAUGAAGAAGGCCUUCGGGUUGUAAAGUACUUUCAGUCGUGAGGAAGGCAUUAACGUUAAUAGCGUUGGUGUUUGACGUUAGCGACAGAAGAAGCACCGGCUAACUCCGUGCCAGCAGCCGCGGUAAUACGGAGGGUGCGAGCGUUAAUCGGAAUUACUGGGCGUAAAGCGCAUGCAGGUGGUUUGUUAAGUCAGAUGUGAAAGCCCGGGGCUCAACCUCGGAACCGCAUUUGAAACUGGCAGGCUAGAGUACUGUAGAGGGGGGUAGAAUUUCAGGUGUAGCGGUGAA
rnacentral:rRNA from 1 species